rnacentral:tRNA from 1 species
GUCUUUGUAGUGUAACGGUAGCACACUCGGCGCGUAUUCGAGAGGUCAAGGUUCGAAUCCCAGUGAGGAUG